rnacentral:sRNA from 1 species
GCUAUGUUGCCCAGGCUGGGGUACAGUGGCUAUGCACAGGUGCAAUCAUAGCUCACUGCAGCCUUGAAACUCCUGGACUCAAGCAAUCCUCUGCCUCAGCCUUCCAAGUAGCUGGGACUACAAGCAAGUGCCACUGUGCCCGGCAUGGAACCCAUAAUCUGUUGAAGGCCAAGGCUUACUUAUUUUUUUACUCACCUAAGAGACUUUCUAGCACACUAAGAUGAAUUCUGCCUUUGAAAACAAAGUCUUGGAACUACUCGAAAUACUUCCUAAUAUACAGCUGCUCCAAGCUUUUCUGCCAUUUGAAGCUUCUUCUGGGAGCCAGCUGUGACCAGAGGAAUAGCUCCAGCCAUCCGG